UACAGAGGUCCCGAGCGUUGUUCGGAUUCACUGGGCGUAAAGGGUGCGUAGGUGGUGAGGUAAGUCGGAUGUGAAAUCUCCGGGCUCAACCCGGAAAUGGCAUUGGAAACUACCUUGCUGGAGGAUUUGAGGGGGGAUUGGAAUACUUGGUGUAGCAGUGAAAUGCGUAGAUAUCAAGUGGAACACCAGUGGCGAAGGCGCAUCCCUGGAAAAUACCUGACACUGAGGCACGAAAGCUAGGGGAGCAAACAGG
rnacentral:rRNA from 1 species